UACGUAGGGUGCGAGCGUUAAUCGGAAUUACUGGGCGUAAAGCGUGCGCAGGCGGUUUUGUAAGCCAGAUGUGAAAUCCCCGGGCUUAACCUGGGAAUGGCAUUUGGGACUGCAAGGCUGGAGUGUGGCAGAGGAGACUGGAAUUCCCGGUGUAGCAGUGAAAUGCGUAGAUAUCGGGAGGAAUACCGAUGGCGAAGGCAGGUCUCUGGGUUGACACUGACGCUCAUGCACGAAAGCGUGGGGAGCAAACAGG
rnacentral:rRNA from 1 species